UACGUAGGUGGCGAGCGUUGUCCGGAUUUAUUGGGUUUAAAGGGUGCGUAGGCGGCCCUAUAAGUCAGUGCUGAAAUAUCCCGGCUUAACCGGGAGGGUGGCAUUGAUACUGUAGGGCUUGAGUAAAGUUGAGGUUGGCGGAAUUGACGGUGUAGCGGUGAAAUGCUUAGAUAUCGUCAAGAACACCUAUUGCGAAGGCAGCUAACUAAGCUUUAACUGACGCUGAGGCACGAAAGUGUGGGGACCAAACAGG
rnacentral:rRNA from 1 species